CAGCAGCCACGGGAAUACCGAGGGUGCAAGCGUUAAUCGGAAUUACUGGGCGUAAAGCGCGCGUAGGUGGUUUGUUAAGUUGGAUGUGAAAGCCCCGGGCUCAACCUGGGAACUGCAUCCAAAACUGGCAAGCUAGAGUACGGUAGAGGGUGGUGGAAUUUCCUGUGUAGCGGUGAAAUGCGUAGAUAUAGGAAGGAACACCAGUGGCGAAGGCGACCACCUGGACUGAUACUGACACUGAGGUGCGAAAGCGUGGGGAGCAAACAGGAUUAGAUACCCCCGUAGUCCCUGUCUCUUAUAC
rnacentral:rRNA from 1 species